UUGAUUCUCACUGCCUCUGAGACCCAGGCCUGGAUCUUCAUGACAAAGUCUGCCUUUUUGCUGAAGCUAGAGGAAAUGAGUGUGUGUGAAAGGAGUCCUGACUACAAGGGUCUAUGUCAUCAGGAAGCGGCAGUCCAGAGCCCAAAGUAGACAUCAUCGCACCAAGGCACUCAGGUCCAUCACUGCAGGACAGCGAACAGUGGCCCAAAAGCUUGGGCCCCUGCCACCCAUGUGGGAAAACGGAAAGAAGCUCCUGGCCGCCCAUGUGGGAAACUUGGAAAAAGCUCCUGGCUUUAGUCUAGUUCUUUCCUGGCUGUUGCAGCUAUCUAGGGAGGAAUCCAGAGGAUGGAAGAUCUCUUUCUCUCUCCGUUUCUACCUUGCUUUUUGUUACUAGGAUUUUAAAAUAAAGAAAUAAAUUUUUGGGA